AUGACGAUGGCCAGCGUUGCGUCGGGCCUGGCGAUCAUGGCGCUGGGCGUCGUCCUCCUGGCGUCGCCGUCGGAGUGCGCGCGCGCCUUCUUCGUGUUCGGCGACUCCCUGGUGGACAACGGCAACAACAACUACCUGAUGACCACCGCGCGCGCCGACUCGCCGCCGUACGGGAUCGACUACCCCACGCACCAGGCCACCGGGCGCUUCUCCAACGGCCUCAACAUCCCGGACAUCAUCAGUGAGCAGAUCGGCGCGGAGCCCACGCUGCCGUACCUGUCCCCGGAGCUCCACGGCGCGAAGCUGCUCGUCGGCGCCAACUUCGCGUCGGCGGGCGUCGGCAUCCUCAACGACACCGGCAUCCAAUUUGUGAACAUCGUGAGGGUGAGCCGGCAGCUGCACUACUUCGGCGAGUACCAGGGGAAGCUGCGCGCGCUGGUGGGCGCGUCCCAGGCGACGCAGAUCGUGAACCGGGCGCUGGUGCUCAUCACCCUCGGCGGCAACGACUUCGUCAACAACUACUACCUCAUCCCCUUCUCCCUCCGCUCCCGCCAGUUCUCCCUCCCCGACUACGUCCGCUACCUCAUCGCCGAGUACAAGAAGAUCCUCAUGAGGCUGUACGAGAUGGGCGCGCGGCGCGUGCUGGUGACAGGGACGGGCCCGCUGGGCUGCGCGCCGGCGGAGCUCGCGCUCCGGAGCCGCGACGGGGAGUGCGACAGGGACCUGAUGCGCGCGGCGGAGCUGUUCAACCCGCAGCUGUCCCAGGCCCUGGAGGAGCUCAACGCGCGCUACGGCGACGGGACCUUCAUCGCCGCCAACUCCUUCCGCGUCCACUUCGACUUCAUCAGCGACCCGGCGGCGUACGGGUUCCGGACGGCCAAGGAGGCGUGCUGCGGGCAGGGGCCGCACAACGGCGUUGGCCUCUGCACGGCGGUGUCCCACCUCUGCGCCGACAGGGACCAGUACGUGUUCUGGGACUCGUACCACCCCACGGAGCGCGCCAACCGGAUCAUCGUCAGCCAGUUCAUGACCGGCUCGCUCGACUACGUCAGCCCGCUCAACCUCAGCACCGCCCUCCACAUCGACGCCAGCCUCAUGGACUGA
rnacentral:rRNA from 1 species